rnacentral:tRNA from 1 species
GGUAAGGUGGCUUAAUGGUAGAGUGCUUGCCUUCUAUGCGUGAGGCCCUGGGUUCGAUUCCUCAGCACUA